AUUGAACGCUGGCGGCAGGCCUAACACAUGCAAGUCGAACGGUAACAGGAAGCAGCUUGCUGCUUUGCUGACGAGUGGCGGACGGGUGAGUAAUGUCUGGGAAACUGCCUGAUGGAGUGGGAUAACUACUGGAAACGGUAGCUAAUACCGCAUAAUGUCGCAAGACCAAAGAGGGGGACCUUCGGGCCUCUUGCCAUCUUAUGUGCCCAGAUGGGAUUAGCUAGUAGGUGGGGUAAAGGCUCACCUAGGCGACGAUCCCUAGCUGGUCUGAGAGGAUGACCAGCCACACUGGAACUGAGACACGGUCCAGACUCCUACGGGAGGCAGCAGUGGGGAAUAUUGCACAAUGGGCGCAAGCCUGAUGCAGCCAUGCCGCGUGUAUGAAGAAGGCCUUCGGGUUGUAAAGUACUUUCAGCGGGGAGGAAGGGAGUAAAGUUAAUACCUUUGCUCAUUGACGUUACCCGCAGAAGAAGCACCGGCUAACUCCGUG
rnacentral:rRNA from 1 species